GAUGAACGCUGGCGGCGUGCCUAAUACAUGCAAGUCGAGCGAACGGACGAGAAGCUUGCUUCUCUGAUGUUAGCGGCGGACGGGUGAGUAACACGUGGAUAACCUACCUAUAAGACUGGGAUAACUUCGGGAAACCGGAGCUAAUACCGGAUAAUAUUUUGAACCGCAUGGUUCAAAAGUGAAAGACGGUCUUGCUGUCACUUAUAGAUGGAUCCGCGCUGCAUUAGCUAGUUGGUAAGGUAACGGCUUACCAAGGCAACGAUGCAUAGCCGACCUGAGAGGGUGAUCGGCCACACUGGAACUGAGACGCGGUCCAGACUCCUACGGGAGGCAGCAGUAGGGAAUCUUCCGCAAUGGGCGAAAGCCUGACGGAGCAACGCCGCGUGAGUGAUGAAGGUCUUCGGAUCGUAAAACUCUGUUAUUAGGGAAGAACAUAUGUGUAAGUAACUGUGCACAUCUUGACGGUACCUAAUCAGAAAGCCACGGCUAACUACGUG
rnacentral:rRNA from 1 species